UAGUGUAACCUCCUCCCCUCCAGGUUGUCCUGACAAGGGGCUGCCCAGCUCCCUAGUACUCCUCCUGGAACUCCAACUGGAGGGGUCAGGAGAGAAAGCACAGCGCAGGACUGUGUCCACUGCCACACUCAGGGUGAUGCCGAUGCUGCAGGUUCAAAGGCCACACUUUGAGAACUACUCAUCUUCAAGUCUUACCUGCGGACCAGAUACUCAUUCUCCAAGUGUGGUCUCUGGGCCAGAGUAUCAGAGUUACCAGGAAACAGGUGAUUUUCAUGGUGAUGGAUGCAUAAGGCUUCCUUAGCCUCACUCUGGAACAGCAGGAACCUGACUAGGCACCUGAGGACUCCAACACUGAGCAUCUCAGUGCCUCCUUGUUUCCAGCUGGCGCCCUUCAGACGAGCAGCUUCCUCAGGCCCCGGUGUCGUCAUCCCUCCUUGCUACUCUCCGAUAGCUGAGAUUUCAUAUC